AACGAACGCUGGCGGCAUGCCUAACACAUGCAAGUCGAACGAGACCUUCGGGUCUAGUUGCGCACGGGUGCGUAACGCGUGGGAACCUGCCCUUAGGUUCGGAAUAACUCCCCGAAAGGGGUGCUAAUACCGGAUAAUGUCUUCGGCCCAAAGAUUUAUCGCCUUUGGAUGGGCCCGCGUUGGAUUAGCUAGUUGGUAGGGUAAAAGCCUACCAAGGCGACGAUCCAUAGCUGGUCUGAGAGGAUGAUCAGCCACACUGGGACUGAGACACGGCCCAGACUCCUACGGGAGGCAGCAGUGGGGAAUAUUGGACAAUGGGCGAAAGCCUGAUCCAGCAAUGCCGCGUGAGUGAUGAAGGACUUAGGGUUGUAAAGCUCUUUUACCCGGGAUGAUAAUGACAGUACCGGGAGAAUAAGCUCCGGCUAACUCCGUG
rnacentral:rRNA from 1 species